CUCCAUCUAGUUUUGUAUCUUAUGAUUUUUCUAUACUAUGAGCUGUUUAAAUAAUACACUCCGUUUCAAGUAUUAUUGUGGCUAUUCAGGAAGUGAAACAUGUCAGAUCCUAGAAUUUUUGAAGGGAAACUCAGAUUCUUUCUUCUGCCUCCAAGUCAUGUAGCAUCUGCUAUAAGUCUGUUCCUUGAAUUGAUGAAUUAGGCUCAUUCUGUAAGCAUCACACUACCAAUAUUGUUUGAUUAAGAUUGUAUUGAGAAGUCAAAAAGUAAAUAUACAAAUGAUUCGUUCUAAAUUUAGCUGUCUAUCAAAAUGCAUUCAAGAAAAGUUGGCUAACAACUGACUGACACGAUAACCAUGUAUCACUGGUUUAUUCUCCAGGAUAAUAAUUAAGAAAAAAAUGAGGAACAUUUACUAAGUGAAGUGCCAUGAAACACGGGAUAACUCAGUUUUGUUUGUCACAACAAGGCUGUGAUGAACCAGCAACUAUCACUAUUGAGACUAAGUCUGUACUCCUUGUUACUAAAGACUUGUACGACUCUGGAGAAAUAAGAGUACCUCCUGGACUAUGUGAUUUAUGCAGACUAAGAUUGCAUGAUGUUGACAUAUGCAAAGUACUGUUUAAUAUUUUCAGGAUUUCUUGUUUGAAAAUUAAUUAUCUAUUUGCUGUUGAGAAUGAUCAAUGUGCAAUGCAUG
rnacentral:lncRNA from 1 species